UUUAACACUUGUUGUGAUCAGUGAGAAGUGUUCCGGUAAUCACUUUUGAGGAAAAUAAUGAGUAGGAAAGUCAUGUUCCUCAUUGUUCCUUAAUUUGUUUUUACCAUUUUACAAGAAAUUUUUGUUCCAUUUUCAGACAUGUGGGUCCUGACAUUUUUCCUCAUCAUUCCUCACACGAAAAGAAUGGUAGAACAGAAUGGUUCCUCCCCAAAAUUGUAGAGGAACUAAGAGGAACAAAAAAAU
rnacentral:sRNA from 1 species